AGUGAACGCUGGCGGUAGGCCUAACACAUGCAAGUCGAACGGCAGCACAGUAAGAGCUUGCUCUUACGGGUGGCGAGUGGCGGACGGGUGAGGAAUACAUCGGAAUCUACUUUUUCGUGGGGGAUAACGUAGGGAAACUUACGCUAAUACCGCAUACGACCUACGGGUGAAAGCAGGGGAUCUUCGGACCUUGCGCGAUUGAAUGAGCCGAUGUCGGAUUAGCUAGUUGGCGGGGUAAAGGCCCACCAAGGCGACGAUCCGUAGCUGGUCUGAGAGGAUGAUCAGCCACACUGGAACUGAGACACGGUCCAGACCCCUACGGGAGGCAGCAGUGGGGAAUAUUGGACAAUGGGCGCAAGCCUGAUCCAGCCAUACCGCGGGGGUGAAGAAGGCCUUCGGGUUGUAAAGCCCUUUUGUUGGGAAAGAAAAGCAGCAGGUUAAUACCCCGCUGUUCUGACGGUACCCAAAGAAUAAGCACCGGCUAACUUCGU
rnacentral:rRNA from 1 species